AAAAGAUGCCUGAAAAAGGACUAUUUUGAUAGAAUAGAAAAUGCAUAAUUUAUACUCUAUUA
rnacentral:tRNA from 1 species